rnacentral:lncRNA from 1 species
UUACUUUAAAGAUAAUCAGGCAAUUAGCUUUUCUGCAAUGACAAUUGUGGUUUGUCUUUUCCUAACUAAGCCUUUACUUGUGAGAAUUUUCAUGGGGAAUCAUCCAAGAAGAACGGGAGGCAGUGGGACUUGCGUCAGAAGGCAGAUGUAUUUUUGGGUACCCCGCAUUUAACGUUCUCCCCCACCAUUACACUUGCAUCAACUUUUCAGGCUCUGAAGACUUUGGACCUGGGCUCUGGUUGAAGACUGUGCCGUGACGGGGAUGCAGGCAACCAUGGGGCUGCUGGUGGCGCAGAGGAAGUGGAUACAGUGUGGAGGCAGCAGUCAAUGUGAUUUGUUUUCUCAGCAAUGCAAAUCACAUCAGAGAUAUCCAUAAGACUAUUUACUGCUUUCAGCUCAAAUUGGAAGGGCAGCAGGAAGAGGAGAUUCUCUUCCUCCUGGGCACUUCCUUCACUCAGUGCCAGGAAAGCCCCAUAGAUCAAAUGCUGCGAAUGCUUCGCUCGCAACACAAGACAUUUAAAUCUUAACAGUGCCCAGAGCUUCUUGACAUGUGUGAACUGAGCGUUUGUCACAUGUGUUAGUUUGACAGCAAAGAGAUGCUCUCUUCCCAUGUGGAAGCCUAGACACAAGACUCUAUUUCUAUUCCUCUACAAAAUCAUGAAGCAUUUCACGUUUCUUGAUUACAGUGGUUAUUUAAAAACAAACAAACAAACAAACAAAAG